rnacentral:lncRNA from 1 species
GCAAGGAGAGGCUACUGAAUUGAAUACUCCAGUGAUUUCUGAAAACAUCAUUUCAGGGAGGGGCAAAGGCCCUGAUCAGGAAGUGAAGACAACAUGACUGUGGAGAAGAGAGCCGGGAAGGGAAGAAGCUCAAUAAUGAGUGCAUUCUAGGCCAGCUUCCCCAGUGAGAGCAUCAAGGUUGAUGGAAGAACAUGAGGGGAAGUGGCAUGAGAGCAAGCCCGUGCUCUCCUCUACAGAGACAGAAGCCAGACAUGCCUUUUCCAUGUGCUGAUCUCCAAGUCCCAGCUAGUAGGUCACAUGACAUCACAGUCCUGCUCUUCCUCAAUGGGACUAAGGGCUGAGGGAUCAGUGAGUGCAGAGGUGCCAGCCCAUUUCCACUCCUCCUUAGCGCCAGAAAACCCUGACUGUGACAGCCAUCCCUGAGCCUGCUGGCCAGCUCCCUAGCGGGACAACAUUGAAAGGGAAAGGAGAUCCUCACAAACGAUUACAUGUAAACGUGAGAGGCACCCAGUUUGGAUUCCAGACCAGAAGAAAUCCAGGAAUGGAUUUAAAAAGGAAAGCUGGUUCCCAUCUCCCUGGAGAAUUUAUCUUUAUUAAAGGAGUCAAGAAACCAUGCUGGGGAACCCCACACAGCACAGAACUAUGAGGCAGACUGUAGGAUCUGAUGACAGCCAGAAAGAAGCCCUCAUCCUAGUUGCAAGAAACUGAAUUCUGCCAACAACCUAAGUGAGCUUAGAAAUAAAUCCUUAUCCAUUCAAGCCUCAAGUAAGACCACAACCCCAGCCAAAGCCUUGAUUGACAUCAUGUGAGACUCUAAGCAGAGGACCCGGUUAAGCCAUGAUUGAACUCCUGACCCACCGAAACUGUGAGAUGAUAAGUCACCUGUAGCAAGAAGUGGGAUGUUCUGGAUUGGAAGAGAAACAGCAAAAUGUUAGCAAAACAGUUUAAAGGAAAAGCUGUAAGAGAAGAUGAAAACAGCUUACAAUGAUCCAAAGGGAGGCAUUAAGGCAAAGAGGAAAUGUUAAUGCAGGCUAAAGACAAGUCUGGGAAGAAAAUGAAAAAAUUCCCCUAAUGGGUGAUUCAAAAACAAUCAUAAGAAUAAUAAUAGUUGAAAAAAACACUAGUAGAAUUAAGCAAGAAUACUGAAGAUAAUUUAUUAACAUAUUGGCCUGGCACAGUGGCUCACACCUGUAAUUCCAGCAUUUUGGGAGGCCAAGGCAGAAGCUCAC